rnacentral:tRNA from 1 species
GAGGGUAUAGCUCAGUGGUAAAGUCUGUGCCUAGCAGGUACAAGGUCCUGGGUUCAAUCCCCAGUAUCUCCA